CCCAGGGCACCUUCUGGAAGACUGAUUUCUGCUCUUGCACUGUAUUACCAAAAGUCAGGUUGGACCAAACAGUACAAGAGCAGAAAUCAGUCUUCCAGAAGGUGCCCUGGG
rnacentral:miRNA from 1 species